UGCGCUGGCGGCAUGCCCUUACACAUGCAAGUCGAACGGAUAACAGGUUAAGCUGACGAGUGUCGAACGGGUGAGUAAUAUAUCGGAACGUGCCCAGUCGUGGGGGAUAACUGCUCGAAAGAGCAGCUAAUACCGCAUACGACCUGAGGGUGAAAGCGGGGGAUCGCAAGACCUCGCGCGAUUGGAGCGGCCGAUAUCAGAUUAGCUAGUUGGCGGGGUAAGAGCCCACCAAGGCGACGAUCUGUAGCUGGUCUGAGAGGACGACCAGCCACACUGGGACUGAGACACGGCCCAGACUCCUACGGGAGGCAGCAGUGGGGAAUUUUGGACAAUGGACGCAAGUCUGAUCCAGCCAUGCCGCGUGCGGGAAGAAGGCCUUCGGGUUGUAAACCGCUUUUGUCAGGGAAGAAAAGGCUCCUUCUAAUACAGGGGGCUCAUGACGGUACCUGAAGAAUAAGCAUCGGCUAACUUCGUGCCAGCAGCCGCGGUAAGACGAAGGAUGCAAGCGUUAUCCGGAUUCAUUGGGUUUAAAGGGAGCGUAGGUGGCCUUAUAAGUCAGUGGUGAAAUCUCUCAGCUUAACUGAGAAAUUGCCAUUGAUACUGUAGGGCUUGAGUACAGAUGCCGUUGGCGGAAUAUGACAUGUAGUGGUGAAAUACAUAGAGAUGUCAUAAAACACCGAUUGCGAGGCAGCUGACGAAACUGUAACUGACACUGA
rnacentral:rRNA from 1 species